rnacentral:rRNA from 1 species
GUCGAGAAUUUUUCACAAUGGGCGAAAGCCUGAUGGAGCGACGCCGCGUGGGGGAUGAAUGGCUUCGGCCCGUAAACCCCUGUCAUUCGCGAUCAACCCUUAUUAUUUAAAAGAUGAUGAGCUGAUAGUAGCGGAAGAGGAAGGGACGGCUAACUCUGUGCCAGCAGCCGCGGUAAUACAGAGGUCCCGAGCGUUGUUCGGAUUCACUGGGCGUAAAGGGUGCGUAGGUGGUGGGGUAAGUCGGAUGUGAAAUCUCCAAGCUCAACUUGGAAAUGGCAUUGGAAACUGCCCUGCUAGAGGAUCGGAGGGGGGACUGGAAUACUUGGUGUAGCAGUGAAAUGCGUAGAUAUCAAGUGGAACACCAGUGGCGAAGGCGAGUCCCUGGACGAUACCUGACACUGAGGCACGAAAGCUAGGGGAGCAAACAGGAUUAGAUACCCCUGUAGUCC